rnacentral:rRNA from 1 species
GAUCCUGGCUUAGGAUGAACGCUGGCGGCGUGCCUAACACAUGCAAGUCGAACGAAGCACUGGAAACGGAGAUUCGUCGAAGUUUCUUGACUUAGUGGCGGACGGGUGAGUAAUGUAUGAGCAACCUGCCUUUCAGAGGGGGACAACAGUUGGAAACGACUGCUAAUACCGCAUGAUGUAGCUGGGAGGCAUCUCCCGGUUACCAAAGAUUUUAUCGCCGAAGGAUGGGCUCACGUCUGAUUAGCUGGUUGGUGGGGUAACGGCCUACCAAGGCUGCGAUCAGUAGCCGGACUGAGAGGUUGAACGGCCACAUUGGGACUGAGAUACGGCCCAGACUCCUACGGGAGGCAGCAGUGGGGAAUAUUGGGCAAUGGGCGACAAGCCUGACCCAGCAACGCCGCGUGAAGGAAGAAGGCCUUCGGGUUGUAAACUUCUUUUAUGAGGGACGAAGGACGUGACGGUACCUCAUGAAUAAGCCACGGCUAACUACGUGCCAGCCGCCGC